UACGUAGGGGGCAAGCGUUAUCCGGAUUUACUGGGUGUAAAGGGAGCGUAGACGGCAGCGCAAGUCUGGAGUGAAAUCCCAUGGCUUAACCAUGGAACUGCUUUGGAAACUGUGCAGCUGGAGUGCAGGAGAGGUAAGCGGAAUUCCUAGUGUAGCGGUAAAAUCCGUAGAGAUCAAGAGGAAUACUCAUUGCGAAGGCGACCUGCUAGAACAUAACUGACGCUGAUGCGCGAAAGCGUGGGGAGCAAACAGG
rnacentral:rRNA from 1 species